GCCCUAAUGAUGGAAUUGGAGGCACGAACAUUGGCCCAACAAUAUGGAGGUGGUGCAUUUGCUGUCUCUAAGCACAUGUUUGUUUUUUCAAACUACAAAGAUCAACGUUUCUACAAGAAAUCCAUUGGAUAGGAGAAGUUCUCUGGCCACUCAACAAUGAGCGUUGGUUUUAAGGGAGCAGACCUUUGCAAUGUGUGCAUUGAAGCUGGAAUGUCAAUAAUCCGUGCAGAGUGUGAUUAUGCUAUUGAUGAGGAUUUUAUGAAGGUAUGAACUUCAUACUUGAUUAAAUAAAUUAGCUUGCUUCUUUAUUAUGAAUUAUUAGAAAUAAUAUAGUACUCUAUCGAUAAUGAUGUAUAAAUAUCCUAAGUAAUUUUGUAGCAAGUAUCAAAUUUAUAAAGUAUUUUGUAGCACGCAUAAAAAAUAUGAUUAUAACAUGUAUUCAAUCAUUAAAGUAUUUUGUAGCAAUUAUCAUUAGUUAGAUGAGUUUUUAAAAGUAAAUAGUUCAUACAGAGGAACUAGUCUAUACACUGGAAAAGAGAGGUCUGGCUUGUCCUAGUCACUUCUCUCCAUCCAGAAAAGAAAGAUAUUUGCACUUUCCUCAUAGAACCAGUAUUUUGAAAAUUAUAUCUGAAAUCUAUUAUGAAUCUAUAUAAAUUAGUAGAAAAAAUAGAUCUUAUUUAUAAAAAAUUAAUCGUGGUAGAUGCUAAUUUAGUUAAAGUGGAAACUAUAUUAGCCAAUUUAGAUUAUAUUAAAAAUAAUAUGAAAAAGAAUAGAGAAAGUAAUGUUGUAAAUGAGUUAUGCACUUGUAUGAAAAAAUUAACUUUAGAAAAAAAAAAU